UUCUGUUAAUAUAGAAAGGGCCAAUGAG
rnacentral:piRNA from 1 species